GGGGAUGUAUCUCGGUUGGUAGAGUACUUGCCUAGCAUGCCCAAGGUCCUGGGUUCAAUCCCCGGCACCACCA
rnacentral:tRNA from 1 species